rnacentral:tRNA from 1 species
UCCCUGGUGGUUCAGUGAUUAAGAAUCUGCCUGCCAGUGCAGAGGACACAGGUUCAAUCCCUGUUCUGGGAA